rnacentral:rRNA from 1 species
AUGGAGGUGCAGCCGGAGACGCUGGACGCCCUGGCGGGGUGGUUCGCGCAGACGCUGUCCUCGGACGCGGCCGCCCGCAGCGCCGCCGAGCAGAGCCUCUCGGCCGCGGCCGCGUCGUCCCCGGGCCUCGCGCCGGCGCUCCUCGCCCUCGCCUCCUCCCCGCACCAUGACCACAAGGCCCGCCUCGCCGCCUCCGUCCACUUCAAGAACCUCCUCCGCGCGUGUUGGCCCGACGACAGCGACCACCCCCUGCUGCCCAACGACCGCGACGUCAUCAAGGCGCACAUCCUCCGGCUCAUGCUCGCCGCCCCACCCCUCGUCCGGGCGCAGCCCUCUGAGGCCAUCGUCCUCGCCGCCGCCUCCGACUUCCCUGCCAGAUGGGACUCGCUGCUCCCCUCCAUCGUCUCCUCGCUCGGCGCCGCCCUCUCGGCGGGGGACGUCCCGGCCGCCAACGCCCUCCUCGCCGCCGCGCUCCCCCUCCUCUCCCGCUUCCUUUUCGCCGCGCCGCUCCUCGAGGUCUUCCUCUCCACCUCUCACAGCCAGGGGCGGAGCCCAAUGGGCCAACCCUGUAGCACAGGCUACAGGCUCCAGAUCCGCCCCUGCUCACAGCCUCCUUCAACCUCGGUCUUCUGCGGCCCAAGUCUUCGAGUGCCUUCGUCUGUGCUGCGAGGUCUUCUACUCGUUCCUCACGACCUCCUAGUCGAGGCAGACGGUGCCCCGGACGCGCUCCGUGCCGCCGUCUGCAAUAACCUGCAGCUCUACAUCGAGAAGUACGAGGAAGAGUUGAUGCCGUAUCUCAAGGAGUUUGCCGAGGCUGUGUGGGGGCUCCUCCUCGCAGCAGUGUCACCGAGACCGUCCCGUGAUCAGCUCGCCGUGACCGCCAUAAGGUCCGUGGCAACGGAAUGGACUCGUGCGUCAGGAACCUCGUCACGCGACAUGCAUGAUAAUAAUUCAACUUCAAUCGUGCCGCUUCACGACACAACCGCUCGUCUUGUGGGCAUUCUGAUGGAGGUGUGCAACAACCGCAAGAACCCUGACUUUAAUCAUUACUUGUUUGAGGCUCUGGCAGCAGUGAUUGGGAAGGCCGGCGAGCAGGACCCAGCAGCGUUACUACCUUCGUUUGAGGUAAGCCUCUUCCCAGUGCUCCAGAGGAUAUUGCUCGAGGACAUCUCAGAGUUCUGGCCGUAUGCUUUUCAGAUAUUCGCACAGCUUGUCAAUUUGAGCCCAACGCCUCUCUCGCAGAACUACAUGCAGCUGUUUGGUCUCCUUCUCAGCCUCGCAGCGGUUGCCUCAACAAGGUUGCUUUGCGAGUCCGCGGUUCUGUUGGACGCUGCUGCUGCGCAAUCUUGGGGCAAAUUGCUCGAUAGCACUGUCGCACUGCUGUCUAGUACAACGGACCAAGACGUAGGAGUACAACAAGAGCAAAAUGACGAUGGAACCGAUGCAGUGGAUGGUCGGAGGAGAUCAGGUUAUUCCGUCUCAUUUGUACGCCUUCAGUAUGCUGGGAAGAGCGAAGAUGGUCUGUUGAAAGAAGUCAAUGAUCCAAAACAGUUUCUGCUGGCAUCCUUGGCCUCACUUUCUGCACAGUCUCCUGGAAGGUUUGCUCCUAUCAUUGAGCAACAUGUGGACCCAGCAAACAAAAGUGCUCUUCUUCACCUUUGCGCCGCCUAUAAUGCCAACAUUUUCUAG